UCCGGCGUAGCUCAAUGGUGGAGCGGCCCGCUGUUAACGGGAAGGUUGUAGGUUCGAGUCCUACCGCCGGAG
rnacentral:tRNA from 1 species